GCUACUAUUUUUAUUUGGUUUUUAGUUUUAGUUAAUAAUAAUUAAAUUUUAUUUAAUUAAAUAUUGGGUGAAAUCCUAUUUAAUUUUUAAUUAUAUUUUUGAUUAUGAGGCUAAGAAAUCUAAAUUUUAAACUGGGAUUAGAUACCCCAUUAUUCUAGAUGUUGAUAAUUAAGCCUGAUAAAUAUUAGUUAUGUUCUUUAAAAUCAAAAAAUUUGGCGGUUUUUUAUUCCAAUCAGGGGAAUCUGUCCUGUAAUCGAUAAUCCACGAUUAAUAUAACUUUUAUUUUGCUUGUAUAUCAUCGUUGUUAAUUAUUUUUAGAAAUAUAUAAUUAUAAUAUAAUAUUAUAUUAAAUAUCAGAUCAAGGUGCAGCUUAUAGAAGUAGAGAUGGAUUACAGUAAAUUUAUUUAAGGAUAAAUUUUAGCAUUAUUAUUUAGAAUUUGGAUUUGAAUGUAAUUUUAAUUAUUAAUUAAAAUGAAUUAGGCUCUAGAAUAUGU
rnacentral:rRNA from 1 species